rnacentral:rRNA from 1 species
ACUCCUACGGGAGGCAGCAGUGGGGAAUAUUGCACAAUGGGGGAAACCCUGAUGCAGCCAUGCCGCGUGUGUGAAGAAGGCCUUCGGGUUGUAAAGCACUUUCAGUAGGGAGGAAGGUAGUGUAGUUAACACCUGCAUUAUUUGACGUUACCUACAGAAGAAGCACCGGCUAACUCCGUGCCAGCAGCCGCGGUAAUACGGAGGGUGCGAGCGUUAAUCGGAAUUACUGGGCGUAAAGCGCAUGCAGGCGGCCUGUUAAGUCAGAUGUGAAAGCCCGGGGCUUAACCUCGGAAUUGCAUUUGAAACUGGCAGGCUAGAGUCUUGUAGAGGGGGGUAGAAUUUCAGGUGUAGCGGUGAAAUGCGUAGAGAUCUGAAGGAAUACCAGUGGCGAAGGCGGCCCCCUGGACAAAGACUGACGCUCAGAUGCGAAAAGCGUGGGGAGCAAAACAGGAUUAGAUACCCUGGUAGCACAGG